ensembl:lncRNA
AACAGUGGCAAAGUUUCACAUUUAUUUAUUAUUAUUAUUAUUACUAUUUUUUGAGACAGGGUCUUGCUUUGUAGCUCAGGCUGGCCUCAAACUCGCCACCUCAGCCUCGCAAGUGCUGGGAUUACAGGCUUGUGCUACCAUGUUCAGCUUCACAUUUAUUAACGGUAGGAAAAUACAGAAGGAUAGGGGAAGAAGGGGCUCUACAGAGUGAGUUUUGGGCUGAGUAAAAAGGAAGGGAAAAAUAAAAACACACACUACAAGGGGCUGGGGAUUUAGCUCAGUGGUGCUGCCACCUGCCUCGCAAGUGCAAGGUCUGGAGUUCGAGUCCUGGUACAAAAAAAAAAUACACCAUACAGUGUAGGGUGGACUAUCUUGAAGAGUCAUGCAGGCUAAUACUUAGGUGACUGUCCCUUUUUUUUACAUUUUCCACACUGGCAUCAUAUUCAGGUCAUCCUAUCAAAAACGUGCUCGAGUUCUUGGGAGAAGUCUACAGGCAGGGUUCUGAGAAUUGUUCUGCUACGUCCCAGGGUCAUCAGGCCUUCUUUCCCAGCUAGUUUUAGCCACCCUAUCUUCCUGCCUCAAGACAGCCACAGAUUUGGUGGCUUAAAACAACACACAUUUAUUCUCUUCACUCCAGGAGAUCAGCAGUGUAGUGAUUUCCAAGGGGCUAAGGCUGUGACUCUCUCAGAUGCUCCCAUUAUGCACACUUGUUUAGUGUUACCUGAUGGAAGCCCAGUUCUACAGGUCUGCAGCCUGCGUUUUUGCCCUCUGGCUGCCUCCUGUCCUUUCUAUCUGAAAUUCCUUUCAACUUUUUUUUUGUUUCACUGAGAUAUAAUUCACUUACCUAAAAUUUAUAGUUCAGUGAUGUUUAGUAUACUCUGAGUUGUGAAACCAUCACCAUAUUCAAUUUUAAGUUUUCUUACCCCUAAAAGAAAUCUCACACCCAAGAAGAGUCACUCACCAUCUUCUCCCAACUCUAGGUGAUCACUAAUCUACUUUGUAUCUCCUCUAAUUUGCCCAUUCUGGAUGUUUCAUAUAAUCAGACGUAAUUUUUAAAAUUUUAGUAUUAUGUUAAGUUUCAUCAAUGCUGUAGCAUGGAUCAGUAAGUCAUUCCUUUUUGUUGCCAAAUAAUGUUCUAUUUAUGGUUGUAUCACAUUUAAUGCAUAUGCAUCAAUGAAUAGACAUUUGGGUUGUUUCUACUUUUGGACUGUUAUGAAUAUUAUCAUAAACAUCUGUGUACAAGUUUUAUGUGGACGUUUUCAUUUUUUUAUGUAUACCUAGGAGUAAAUCGCUGGGCUAUAUAUAAUUCCCUCCUCACAACUUUGCCUAUCAAAGUUGUAUCCAUCUUUCAGUGUUGUUCCCAUAGUGUCUCACAAGCUACCACUCAGAAGCAGUCUUCUCCCUAGAUCUCCUGUUGGAUAGUACCCCACUGAACCAUAUUCAGUUUGCUUUGAAGCUCAGUCAUUCACACAUGACUAUUACCUUUGUUAUACUGUAAAGUUGCUGUAUACCCCAAGGCAGUGGGGCAGAAACUCUACAAGUGCUUGGUGGGGAGUAAAAGUUUUAAGUUUGUAGGAACAUAUGCUUGAUCCUAUAAAAUGUGUCCAAUAUUAAAUAAUAACGUAUGCUUUCAGAUUUUUAACACAAGUAUUUGGCAAAUGACACGUGAAAUAAACAUGUGUAAGGUAAAUUGAGUUAGUUUUUAAAGGUAUUUAUUCUGAGUGUCAAAAGCCCUGUAUUCUGGAAUUUUAAUUAAGAAAAUGAGACACUGUGGUUUCAAAUUUAAUGUAAAAUUUCUAAAACAAAGUAAAAACUUCUUUUCAACGUUUUACUUCUCUCAGUUGUCAUUAUUGUCUAGUUAUGAAGUUAUAAAGGAGAUACAUGAAUAAAAGUUUUUACUCACUUUUUUAAGACAGGGUCUUGCUUUGUGGUUUAGGCUGACCUUGAACUCAUUAUGUAGCCCAGGCUGGCCUCAAACUCAUGGCGAUCCUCCUGCUUCAGCCUUCCAAGUGCUGGGAUUACAGGCAUGCGCCACCAUGCCCAGCAGGUUUUUACUCAUUUUGAAAGUAUAUC